rnacentral:rRNA from 1 species
AGCAGCCGCGGUAAUUCCAGUUCCAAUAGCGUAUAUUAAAGUUGUUGCAGUUAAAAAGCUCGUAGUUGAAUUUCGGGAUCAGUACGCCGGUCGUGCCUUCGGUAUGCACUGGUGUCACUGGUUUCUCCCUUCUGCAGAACCAUCAUGCCAUUCAGUUGGUGUGGCGGGGAAUCAGGACUGUUACUUUGAAAAAAUUAGAGUGUUUAAAGCAGGCUCGCGCUUGAAUACAUUAGCAUGGAAUAAUGAAAUAGGACGUUUGACCCUAUUUUGUUGGUUUCUAGGAUCGACGUAAUGAUUAAUAGGGAUAGUUGGGGGCAUUAGUAUUCAAUUGUCAGAGGUGAAAUUCUUGGAUUUAUUGAAGACUAACUACUGCGAAAGCAUUUGCCAAGGAUGUUUUCAUUAAUCAAGAACGAAAGUUAGGGGAUCGAAGACGAUCAGAUACCGUCGUAG